UGGUGGAGUGAUUUGUCUGGUUAAUUCCGAUAACGAACGAGACUCUGUCCUGCUAACUAGGUUGUGUUUUCUCGGGGUUGGUGUUCUGGUGUUCCUUCUCGGGGCGCCGGCCCAAUCCACUUGUGAACACAACACUCUUCUUAGAGGGACUGGCGGCUGUUAGCCGCACGAGAUAGAGCAAUAACA
rnacentral:rRNA from 1 species